AACAGGAUUAGAUACCCUGGUAGUCCACGCCCUAAACGAUGUCUACUAGUUGUUGGUGGAGUAAAAUCCAUGAGUAACGCAGCUAACGCGUGAAGUAGACCGCCUGGGGAGUACGGUCGCAAGAUUAAAACUCAAAUGAAUUGACGGGGGCCCGCACAAGCGGUGGAUUAUGUGGAUUAAUUCGAUGCAACGCGAAAAACCUUACCUGGCCUUGACAUGUAACGAACUUUCCAGAGAUGGAUUGGUGCUCGAAAGAGAACGUUAACACAGGUGCUGCAUGGCUGUCGUCAGCUCGUGUCGUGAGAUGUUGGGUUAAGUCCCGCAACGAGCGCAACCCUUGCCAAUAAUUGCCAUCAUUUAGUUGGGCACUUUAUUGGGACUGCCGAUGACAAAUCGGAGGAAGGUGGGGACGACGUCAAGUCCUCAUGGCCCUUAUGGCCAGGGCUUCACACGUAAUACAAUGGUCGGUACAGAGGGUUGCCAAGCCGCAAGGUGGAGCCAAUCCCAGAAAGCCGAUCGUAGUCCGGAUUGAGGUCUGCAACUCGACCUCAUGAAGUCGGAAUCGCUAGUAAUCGCGGAUCAGCAUGUCGCGGUGAAUACGUUCCCGGGCCUUGUACACACCGCCCGUCACACCAUGGGAGUGGGUUUUACCAGAAGUAGGUAGUCUAACCGCAAGGAGGACGCUUACCACGGUAGUAUUCAUGACUGGGGUGAAGUCGUAACAAGGUAACC
rnacentral:rRNA from 1 species